rnacentral:rRNA from 1 species
GGCAGAUAUUCUUUUACUGCCCCGAAUACAUUAGCAUGGGAUAAUGGAAUAGGACCCUGUCCUUCAUGUUUCGCGUUGGUUGUGUGUUAAGUGCGCGCGCAAGCGCGUGGCUGGCACAUGGUGUUUCGUCUAAAGGAGGACCAGGGUAAUGAUUAAUAGGGAUAGUUGGGGGCAUUAAUAUUUAAUUGUCAGAGGUGAAAUUCUUGGAUUUAUGAAAGAUUAACUUCUGCGAAAGCAUCUGCCAAGGAUGUUUUCAUUAAUCAAGAACGAAAGUUAGGGGAUCGAAGACGAUUAGAUACCGUCGUAGUCUUAACCAUAAACCAUGCCGACCAGCGAUUGGGAGACGUUUCACACGGAAGUGGUGCCGGGGAGGGCGCCCUCCCUUUGCCCCGUAAAAAAGGGCCGAACAAAGCGCCUCUCCUUUGGGCUGCUUCCACUAAAGGAUGACUCCCCUAACAGCUUGUGAAAA